GGGUCAGUAGGUUGGUCGUGCCACCGGUACGUACUGGUCUCACUGAUUCCUCCUUCCUGAAGAACCGUAAUGCCAUUAAUUUGGUGUCGCGGGGAAACAGGACUGUUACUUUGAAAAAAUUAGAGUGUUUAAAGCAAGCUAACGCUUGAAUACAUUAGCAUGGAAUAAUGAAAUAGGACGAUCGAUCCUAUUUUGUUGGUUUCUAGGAUUGACGUAAUGAUUAAUAGGGAUUGUUUGG
rnacentral:rRNA from 1 species